CCUACGGAGGGCAGCAGUGGGGGAUAUUGCACAAUGGGGGAAACCCUGAUGCAGCGACGCCGCGUGGGCGAAGAAGUAUUUCGGUAUGUAAAGCCCUAUCAGCAGGGAAGAAGAAAUGACGGUCCCUGAGUAAGACGCCCCGGCUAAAUACGUGCCAGCAGCCGAGGUAAUACGUAUGGUGCAAGCGUUAUCCGGAUUUACUGGGUGUAAAGGGAGCGCAGGCGGCACGGCAAGCCUGAUGUGAAAGCCCGCGGCCCAACCGCGGGACUGCAUUGGAAACUACCGGGCUGGAGUGCCGGAGAGGUAAGCGGAAUUCCUAGUGUAGCGGUGAAAGGCGUAGAUAUUAGGAGGAACACCAGUGGCGAAGGCGGCCUACUGGACGGUGACUGACGCUGAGGCUCGAAAGCGUGGGGAGCAAACAGGAUUAGAUACCCCAGUAGUC
rnacentral:rRNA from 1 species